rnacentral:rRNA from 1 species
CCUACGGGUGACAGCAGUGAGGAAUAUUGGUCACUGGCCGAGAGGCUGAACCAGCCAAGUCGCGUGAGGGAAGAAUGUCCUAUGGAUUGUAAACCUCUUUUGUCAGGGAGCAAAGUCACCCACGUGUGGGUGUUGGAGAGUACCUGAAGAAAAAGCAUCGGCUAACUCCGUCCCAGCAGCCGCGGUAAUACGGAGGAUGCGAGCGUUAUCCGGAUUGAUUGGGGUUAAAGGGUGCGUAGGCGGGUUAUCAAGUCAGGGGGAAUGUCGUGGAGCUCAACUCCAUCCAGCCGUUGAAACUGGUGAUCUUGAGUGGGCGAGAAGUAGGCGGAAUGCGUGGUGUAGCGGUGAAAUGCAUAGAUAUCACGCAGAAGUCCGAUUGCGAAGGCAGCAUACCGGAGCCCGACUGACGCUGAAGCACGAAAGCGUGGGUAUCGAACAGGAUUAGAUACCCUUGUAGUC